CGCGGGGCUGUGCCACGCCGGCCCGCAGCCCGGGUAUCCCGCGCGGCCCAGCGCCAGGAACAAGAACUGGUGCGCCUACAUCGUGAACAAGAAUGUGAGCUGCUCCGUGCUGGAGGGAAGUGAGAGUUUUAUUCAGGCUCAGUACAACUGUGCCUGGAACCAGAUGCCCUGUCCGUCGGCGCUGGUGUUCCCAGUGGAGGAGAUGCCAUGCUUGCAGGGCCCUUCGGCAUUUCCAGAACAUUUCCACACCAUUAUUUUAUUCUUACCACAAGUUCAGCCAGGAGACUAGGCAGGGCCGAGACUGGGGCCUUGGAAAAAGAACUUCAUGCUGAGGGGCUACACUUUCUACCUUCGUCUUACACAACAGUGAAUAGCAUUCAAAUAGGGGUAAUGGCCUUACGAAAAGCAGCCUGCUUUUUGUUAGAACUUGUCUUAAUUAAGCUCCGUAACUGGUCUUCCUCUGUUGAUGUGUUCCACCCACGGUGGCACGUGGUAUUUGAGUUAAAAUCCUGAGGUAGCCGGAAAAGGGGAGGCAGGUGGGGCCAGGCUGCAGAGAACGGCAAGUGGGUGGGAACUCCAUCCAGGUUGGGUGGGUGGCUGACGUGCUUCGGAAGAGGAGACAGAAGAGUUGUCCUACAGCCUGACAUCUCCCACCACCAAGCUGUGUGAUCACAGGCGAGUCACUUAGCCCGUCUGAGGCACACUUUCCUCACGUCUACAUGACAGGGUUGUGGGGAGGAGGCCCCAGUGCGGGAACACAGCUGACAGAACUUUUAAAAAUUGCGCUGUCACACUAACGUACUGCAUACCCAGCAGGCACGUCUGGUGAACACUCACCGUUUUCAUUGUUUGUCGGUUUGGAAUGUUAUUGCCUCACAGGUGAUUUUAUCUUUGAGGACUUUGGGUUUGAAGUUAAUGCUUACGGACACAUUGGAGAAAGGCUAAAAUGCUCACGGUUGAAAUCGUUAAAUUCAGUGAAUUAAGAUAAUAAUGAUGCUGGCUUGCCUAAGAUGAACUUUAAGUGAAGCUCAGCCGGGCACGGUAGUAUGUUCCUGUAAUUCCAGCUACUCGGGAGGCUGAGGCGGGAGGAUCGCUUGAGUCAAGGAGUUUGAAUCCAGCCUGGGCAACAUAGUGAGACCCCCCUCUCUAAAAAAUAAAAUAAAAUUUAAGUGUAAAAAAAUUAAGUGAAAUUCUUAGAAAUUGCACUGGAAGCCGAGCCAGCAGUGCAGUCUCUUUGGGGAAAUGCACAUAAGUGAUUAUGGUCAAAGUCAGUGCUGAAGUAGCCUGUGGGUAUUUCUUACUGGUUCUGCAGGUGUCUGUGUGCCUGGAGUAGGUCAGUAAAGAAAGGUUAGCUAGAUGGUGGAUGUUGCUGUGAGUGGUGGUAAACUAGUGCCAAUCCCCAG
rnacentral:lncRNA from 10 species